rnacentral:rRNA from 1 species
GAUGAACGCUGGCGGCGUGCCUAAUACAUGCAAGUCGAGCGAAUGGAUUAAGAGCUUGCUCUUAUGAAGUUAGCGGCGGACGGGUGAGUAACACGUGGGUAACCUGCCCAUAAGACUGGGAUAACUCCGGGAAACCGGGGCUAAUACCGGAUAACAUUUUGAACCGCAUGGUUCGAAAUUGAAAGGCGGCUUCGGCUGUCACUUAUGGAUGGACCCGCGUCGCAGUAGCUAGUUGGUGAGGUAACGGCUCACCAAGGCAACGAUGCCUAGCCGACCUGGGAGGGUGGUCGGCCACACCGGGACUGAGACACGGCCCAGACUGCUACGGGAGGCAGCAGUAGGGAAUCUUCCGCAAUGGACGAAAGUCUGACGGAGCAACGCCGCGUGAGUGAUGAAGGCUUUCGGGUCGUAAAACUCUGUUGUUAGGGAAGAACAAGUGCUAGUUGAAUAAGCUGGCACCUUGACGGUACCUAACCAGAAAGCCACGGCUAACUACGUGCCAGCCGCCGCGGUAA